AUACGUAGGUGGCAAGCGUUAUCCGGAAUUACUGGGUGUAAAGGGUGUGUAGGCGGGGCUGCAAGUCAGAUGUGAAAAUUAUGGGCUCAACUCAUAACCUGCGUCUGAAACUGUAGCUCUUGAGAGUGGGAGAGGUAAAUGGAAUUCCCGGUGUAGCGGUGGAAUGCGUAGAUAUCGGGAGGAACACCAGUGGCGAAGGCGAUUUACUGGACCACAACUGACGCUGAGACACGAAAGCGUGGGGAGC
rnacentral:rRNA from 1 species